CUGGCGGCCGUAGCGCGGUGGUCCCACCUGACCCCAUGCCGAACUCAGAAGUGAAACGCCGUAGCGCCGAUGGUAGUGUGGGGUCUCCCCAUGCGAGAGUAGGGAACUGCCAGAC
rnacentral:rRNA from 1 species